rnacentral:ncRNA from 1 species
AGCUAGGGGAGCUUUUGCUGAGAGUGUGCUUUGCGGCACAGACCCUUAAACCUGAUCCGGACAAUGCUGGCGCAGGGAAGCAGCAAA